UUUUCUUGCAAUACUGUAAACAAUAAGGGUGAAGUAUGGCACAAAUGUUGGGCAAUAAAGAUCAAUUUUCUUCUCAUCUCUCUUUUGAUUGCUCCACAAGCAAAUUAGGUAAAAGUGAUCUAGACAACCCCAUAGUUCCUCGACGUUCGACCAGAGUGUCUCGUCCACCAGAUCGGUAUGGUUUCUCGCAUACCUCUCUUCAUGUUACUUUGUCUUCCAUUCCCAUUCCAUCAGGUUAUUCCUAGGCAGCUAAACAUGACUAUUGGCGUGAGGCGAUGGCCGAAGAGCUCCGGGCUCUUCAGGAUAAUCAUACAUGGAAUGUUGUCCCUUGUCCUGCUAAGGUUAAAGCCAUUGGUUGCAAAUGGGUUUAUUCUAUCAAGCUACAUUCUGACGGGACUCUAGAUCGAUAUAAGACACGGUUGUAUCGUUGGGAGGAGGGUGAUCUCCUUUCCGACCCUACUAUGUAUCGAUAGUUAGUGGGUAGCCUGAACUAUUUGACUAUUACUCGACCUGAUAUUUCAUUUGCUGUCCAGCAGGUUAGUUCAUGCAAGCUCCACGUCAUCUACAUUUAGCUAUUGUUCAUCGUAUUAUUCGAUAUCUUCAAGGAUCUACUAGCUGUGACCUGUUCUUCCCUACUGGGAUUUCUCUUCGCCUUGUGGCUUACAGUGAUGCUGAUUGGGCAGGAUGUCCUGAAACGCAACAAUCUAUUACGGGUUGGUGCAUGUUUCUUGGUGACUCUUUGAUAUCUUGGAAGAGUAAGAAACAGGAUCGUCUUUCCAAAUCUUCUACCGAAUCCAAAUACCAUGCAAUGUCCACUGCUUGUUCUGAGAUUCUAUGGCUUCAUGGUCUUCAUGCUGAGCUUGGUUGUGUUCAG